CCCGGGCUUCCGGUUCGGUGGCUCCGGAAGCUGCGGUCGGCUGGUUGGACUCCAGUCACCAUGGCGCUGGCCGUCCUGAGAGUCCUGGAGCCCUUCCCGACCGAGACACCCCCGCUGGCUGUGCUGCUGCCGCCGGGGGGCCCAUGGCCUGCGGUGGGUCUGGGCCUAGUGCUGGCGCUGCGGCCUGCGAGCGAGGGCCCGGCGGGGCUGGCCCUGCUCGUGGCGGCCCUAGAGGGGACGGGUGUGGAGUCCGAAGCGCGCGGCCUGGGGCUGCCGCAGCUUCUGGUCAGCCGCGCGCUACUGCAGCUCCUGGCCCUGGGCUCUGGGGCGCAAGUGCGGGCGCGGCCCGUGCGGCGGCCUCCAGCGCUCGGCUGGGCUUUGCUGGGCGCCUCGCCCGGGCCGGGGCUGGGACCUCGGGCCGGGCCGUUGCUGGUGAGGCGUGGGGAGAUCCUGCCGGUGCCCGGGCCGCGCGUCCUGGAGACUCGCCCAGCGCUACAGGGGCUGCUGGGCCCGGGGACGCGGCUGACCGUGACUGAGCUCCGCCGACGGACUAGACUGGCCCCGGAGCCGGGAGACAGCAGCUGCCCGCCACCCGCGCCUGUGGUGUCGUCCUUCGCGGUGUCCAGCACGGCGCGGCAGCUCCAGGGAGUACUGGGAGGGACCGGCGAUGCACUGGGCGUGAGCCGGAGCUGCCUCCGCGGCCUCGGCCUUUUCCAGGGUGAGUGGGUGUGGGUGGCCCGGGCGGGAGAGUCGUCGGACACUGCCCAACCCCACCUGGCCAAAGUGCAGGUCCUGGAGCCUCACUGGAACCUAGCUGAGAGGCUGGGACCCGGCUCCGGGCAGCCGCGAGAGCAGCUUUCCGACCACCUGGCGCUCGUGUCCGCCACGCUGGCGUUUAAUCUCGGCUGUGACCCCCUGGAAGUGGGAGAGCUCAAAAUUCAGAGGUACACGGAAGGCUCCAUCAGCCCUGAAGACAAAGGAAGCUGCUCAUUGCUGCCUGAGCCUCCAUUUGCCAGAGAGUUACACAUCAACAUUGUGUCCUCUCCCCACUACAGCACUGGUGGAAAUUAUGACCAGGUUCUUUAUCGGCACUUUCAGACACCCAGGGUGGUCCAGGAAGGCGAUGUUCUGUGUGUGCCGACGGCUGGGCAAGUAGAGACCCUGGAAGGAAGUCUGGAGAGACUGCCGAGGUGGCAUGAGGUAUUUUUUAAAGUGAAGAAAAUCGUCGGGGAUGCUCUGGGUAGACUGCCUGCUGCCUACUUGGCCGACACCACACACACCUCCUUGUACAUGGUGGGCUGCACUCUGAGCCGUGUGCCCGCACGCCCUUCGGGAGGGCCCAUUCUCUGGGGUGGCUUAUCCCUUCCUGGCCUGGAGGCCUUGGUGACUGCACUCUGCACCGCCCUGAAGCCUCGUCUUCAGCCAGGGGGUGCCCUGCUGACAGGCACGAGUUGUGUCCUCCUGCGGGGACCCCCAGGGAGUGGGAAGACCACUGCAGUGGCUGCUGCCUGCAGUCGCCUCGGGCUGCACUUGUUGAAGGUGCCCUGCUCCAGUCUCUGUGCAGACAGCAGUGCGGCCUCAGAGGCAAAGCUGCAGGCCACCUUCUCCCGAGCCCGCCGCUGCCGGCCUGCGGUCCUGCUGCUCACAGAUGUGGACCUGCUGGGCCGAGACCGUGAUGGGCUGGGCGAGGACCCCCGGGUGGUAGCUGCGCUGUGUCACCACCUCCUCGAUGAGGAUCCCCCCAGCAGCUGCCCUCCGCUGAUGGUGGUGGCCACCACAAGCCAGGCCCAGGACCUGUCCACUGACGUGCAGACAGCAUUUCCCCACGAGCUACAGGUGCCUGUGCUGGCCGAGGGCCAGCGGCUCAGCAUCCUGCAGGCCCUCACUGCCCACCUGCCCCUGGGCCAGGAGGUGAACCUAGCACAGUUGUCCCGGCAGUGUGUGGGAUUUGUGGCAGGGGACCUGUGCGCCCUUCUGGCCCACAGCAGCCGGGCAGCCUGCGCCAGAAUCGAGAGCUCAGAUUCAGGGGGCAGCCUGAGCGAGGAGGACGAGGCGGAACUGUGUGCCGCUGGCUUCCCCCUCCUGGCCGAGGACUUCGGGCAGGCUCUGGAGCAGCUUCGGACAGCUCACUCCCAGGCUGUGGGGGCACCCAGGAUCCCCUCGGUGUCCUGGCAUGACGUGGGCGGGCUGCAGGAGGUGAAGAGGGAGAUCCUGGAGACCAUCCAGCUUCCCCUGGAGCACCCGGAGCUGCUGGGCCUGGGCCUGAGACGCUCAGGCCUCCUGCUGCAUGGGCCCCCAGGCACCGGAAAGACCCUGUUGGCUAAAGCGGUGGCCACGGAAUGCAGCCUGACCUUCCUCAGUGUGAAGGGGCCGGAGCUCAUCAACAUGUAUGUGGGCCAGAGCGAGGAGAACGUGCGGGAAGUGUUUUCCAGGGCCAGGGCUGCUGCCCCGUGCAUCAUCUUCUUUGAUGAGCUGGACUCCUUGGCUCCAAGCCGGGGACGAAGUGGAGACUCUGGGGGCGUGAUGGACAGGGUGGUGUCUCAGCUCCUGGCCGAGCUAGAUGGGCUUCACAGCACCCAGGAUGUGUUCGUGAUCGGAGCCACCAACAGACCAGACCUCCUGGACCCUGCCCUCCUGCGGCCUGGGAGAUUUGACAAGCUGGUGUUUGUUGGGGCAAGCGAGGACCGGGCCUCCCAGCUGCAUGUACUGAGCGCCAUCACCCACAAGUUCAAGCUUGAGCCCUCGGUGAGCCUGGUGAAUGUGCUGGACCGUUGCCCUCCCCAGCUGACGGGAGCAGACCUCUACUCUCUCUGCUCUGAUGCCAUGACUUCCGCCCUCAAACGCAGGGUUCGUGACCUGGAGGAAGGGCUGGAGCCUGGGAGCUCAGCCCUGUUGCUCACCAUGGAGGACCUGCUACAGGCCGCUGCCCAGCUGCAGCCUUCAGUCAGCGACCAGGAGCUGCUUCGGUACAAGCACAUCCAGCACAAGUUUGCUGCCUGCUAGGAGCCACCUGCCAGUGGGACCUGCCUGCUAUGGCCAAAGGCUGGGUAUGUAGUUCAGUACAAAGCCCCUGGGUUCAGUCCCAGUAUGGAGCACUGGUGCUGUAUGAAAAAUCCACACAGCUAACUGGAGACAGAAACCGGCCUGUAGGAGGUGCCUUGAGUGAACCAUGAGAGGACACCGAGACUUCACUGUCUGGACCUGUGGUACUUCACCUGUUUUGCAAAGCUGAGGUCUAACCCACCUGAGGCAGGCCAUGACCACUGAACUCCACCCCCAGCGCCACCUGUGGCUCUCAACCCCUGAACUGGAAGAAACUGGCUUGUGGUUCGUCCCUCUGCAUCUGCGUCAGCCCUGGUGGUGUGGUUGAUGGGAGCACUGAGAGAUGGAUCCAUUCUGGGGCCUGAGAAGCUACUUUUGAGGACAAGACCCUGAUCCAGUAGGACUCCCUCUUAGGACAGCAAGGUUCUCUUGGAGGGCUGGGGUACAGCUCAGCAGUGAGCACCCCAGAAACAAAUACCAGAGAAGGCAGAGAUGUUUGCUCAGCACGCAGGCUGAUGUGAGGCCCAGACCAACCAGGCCUGCAAUGCACCAGUCACCCAAACAAACUUCCCAGCUCACUGCGGCGGGGCACUCAGAGCUAGAGGCAGAGGCUGGGGGUGGACUAAGGCUCAGCCCUGAGCAGAGACUGCCUCGCUAUGGGAACAUGAGUAGAUGCAGGGGCUGUCUUGCCUGAUUUGUGCUGAACCUCAGGCAGGCUGUUGUGAAGGACUGUCACCAACACCUGCCAACUGUCCUCACACUUAUUUUUAAAACCUUCACCAACAUAAGCAAGGUGAGGAUUCUGUGGCAGACAAGGACUAGAGAAGCCAAAGCCAGGGCAGACCUGGUCCCAGUGAUGCCAUAGCCCGUCCCAAUCAUCUCCUUCGUCUUGCCCGUUUCAUCAAAGGCGGACUUCAGCUCCACAGCGACGUAUUUGCACACUGCAGUGGGGGACACACGACACCGCCCAGCCCUGAGAGCGUGCGCAGGAGCCUGAGGAGAGGCCAGCGCCCAAGCAAGACGACCCAGGCGGAAACACUCCUGGCCUGGACAAGGCACUGCUGGAGGCAGGCAGGAGUCAGCGCCACCCAAGCCUUCAUGCCCCUCAUUACUUCUAAAAGCUUCACGUGUGGUGAAGGGUGGUGGCGCUGGCCUGUAAUCCUGGCACUCAGGAGGCUGAGGCAGGAGGACUGGGAGUUUGAGCUCAGGCUGGGCCACCUAGAGAGUUCAAACCCAGUCUGAACUACAUAGUGAGACCCUGUGUCAGAGAAUAAAUGAAUCAGACAUAGCAUCCCUGAGGCCCUGGAUCUGAUCCCCAGAACCACAAGGAAAAAAAGAGGUCUAAGGGCCGGGGAUUUAGCUCAGUGGUUUCGCCACCUGCUGUGCAGGCUCAAGGACCCGAGUUCGAUCCCCGGUACCAAAAAAAAAAGAAAACGAAAAAAAGAGGUCUGGGUUGUAGCUCCGUAGUAGCAUCCUUGCCUAGUAUUCACCAGGCCCUGGGUUCAAAUUCCCCAUACCAAAAAUAAAAUGAAACAAAAUAAACGAUUAUUUUUUUAAUCCUAACCAAAAGGAAAGUACUGUAAUUAGUAGACUGACCUCAGAGUUAACAUCUGUUACCCAACAAUUUGGUCACAUUAUAAGGGAUGGGGUUUUAAGGAGAAACAGACCUGUGACUACGAUUUAAUUCUGACGCACCAGAGGCUUUCUCACCACAAUGCAAGGCCAGGCCGGACAACUCAGGGAGACCCUGUCUCAAAAUAAAAACAGCUGGGAAAUAAGCAUAUGAAAAAUGUUCAACACCACUGGUCAUUCAAGAGAAAUGCUGAAGUUCCACCUCACUUCAGAAAGAAUGGCUGCUAUCAAGAAAU